rnacentral:rRNA from 1 species
UACGUAGGGUGCAAGCGUUGUCCGGAAUUAUUGGGCGUAAAGAGCUCGUAGGCGGUCUGUUGCGUCGGCUGUGAAAACCCGGGGCUCAACUCCGAGCCUGCUUCUGAUACGGGCAGACUAGAGGUAUGCAGGGGAGAACGGAAUUCCUGGUGUAGCGGUGAAAUGCGCAGAUAUCAGGAGGAACACCGGUGGCGAAGGCGGUUCUCUGGGCAUUACCUGACGCUGAGGAGCGAAAGCGUGGGGAGCGAACAGG